rfam:Colius striatus contig97637, whole genome shotgun sequence.
ACCUACGGCCAUACUACCCUGAGAACAGCCAAUCUUAUCUGAUCUUGGAAGAUAAGCAAUGUCAGGCCCAGUUAGUACUUGAAUGGGACUACCAGGUGCUGUAGGCU